rnacentral:rRNA from 1 species
AACCUCCGCAAUGUACGAAAGUGCGACGGGGGGAUCCCAAGUGUUAUGCUUUUUUGUAUAACUUUUCAUUAGUGUAAAAAGCUUUUAGAAUAAGAGCUGGGCAAGACCGGUGCCAGCCGCCGCGGUAACACCGGCAGCUCUAGUGGUAGCAGUUUUUAUUGGGCCUAAAGCGUCCGUAGCCGGUUUAAUAAGUCUCUGGUGAAAUCCUGUAGCUUAACUGUGGGAAUUGCUGGAGAUACUAUUAGACUUGAGACCGGGAGAGGUUAGAGGUACUCCCAGGGUAGAGGUGAAAUUCUGUAAUCCUGGGAGGACCGCCUGUUGCGAAGGCGUCUAACUGGAACGGUUCUGACGGUGAGGGACGAAAGUUAGGGGCGCGAACCGGAUUAGAUACCCGGGUAGUCCUAACCGUAAACGAUGCGGACUUGGUGUUGGGGUGGCUUUGAGCUGCUCCAGUGCCGAAGGGAAGCUGUUAAGUCCGCCGCCUGGGAAGUACGGUCGCAAGACUGAAACUUAAAGGAAUU